UUCCUCAAGGUGUGUCUGAAUCCUGCUAGGGCUUUCAGCCCGUAAAGACAGGAAGUGCAUACACGGCCACAGAGCACGACCUCCUUCUAGAACACAUCUUGAAAAUGUUUUGAACGCUUUCUGAGCACAGGGACAAUGGCUUACGUUUUUUUGUGGGGGUGGGUGGGGGGAUGGUGUCCUCCUGCCUGACCUUUGGCUUGCCGAGAGAUGUGCAUCGCUACCCUGGACUCCCUCGGCUGCUUUCAGGCUGUGGAGAAGGCGGCACCCACGUUGGGAAGCAAAAGCUGUCGCAGGCUGCCUUGCCCAUGACAGCGUGUCUAAAAAUACAUCCACCGAGACGCAGGCAUAUGCUCGCGCCUCGGUGUGAAGGAGCUCUCUCUCGCCUGUGUUUCUCGCUACCUCCAUCUAAAUGCUGGAGCGAGGAGUUAAAUUAUUCCAGAAGGCCCGCCAGGGUCUGAUUUGCUACUGUCUGCUUCCUCGUUGCCUUUGAAUGGGACCCUUGAUCCAAGGCUUUCAGAGACCAGCCGGUGCUGAUGGGGGUCUGUGACUUGGCGGUGGCGCCAGCUUGCUCCUUCUCUGUCUCGGGCAUGGUUUUCUGUCCUGCUGGGGAGGGCGAGAGCGCUGGGCAGAGGUGGCACCUGACCCGCUAGAACUCCGAUGUCACUGCUGUGGCUGUUACUCCCCUCGGCAAGAGUCAAGGCGCACGCAGGACGAUGGCUACAUCUCUCAUUCCGGAUGCCACCAGGCCAUUCCAGCCACCUGCCAUAGUGUUGUCUCCAGACAAGGGCAGACGACCAGAGACGCUCUGAAGCCCUACGGCUACUUGGAGAGAAGAAUAAUGUUCCUGGCAAAGCGCUGUGAAACCAAGGAAGUGAAAUAACAAAAGAGCAUGAAGACAGCGCAGCCCCAGCUGGUAGGCCCUGAAGAGAGGCUGGAGUCCUCAGACCGACAGAAGGAAGACAUCUGAGGGGCGACCAGGAGGUGUCUGUGGCUGCGGAACACAGACUUAUGUUUGGAAAGAUACUGAGAAGUUUUGGUAAACUUGGCUAUCUCACGUCUCCAUAGGCAGGGGUGACUGAUUUGAAGACACCGGCAACAUGGAGACUGCUUCAAAAAUACUCAUGAGAAGUUCAGUUUUCCAGAUAUUUUUAAGUGCCUACUGUGAGCCAAGCAUUCUGUUAAGACCUAACGAUGUGUCAGUGCAAUAAGAUAACCAUGACCCAUCUGUGGAGAGCUCAGAGCCCUGCAGGAAGACACCUGAUUAGUGAGAACACUAAGUGUGAUAAAUGUCCAGAAAAAAAGAUGAGAUGAAAAGAGGAUGCAACAAAAACAUGGGACUCAAGAAACCAUCAAAAGCAAUGAAGAAGACUUUCCAACCAGCAUUUGCCCAGGAGCACAGCCCUGAGGAUAACUUGACUGAGCCCUCUGAGACCCAUGUGUGGCUUCUGGCUUCUAGAGUGGAAGGCCAUAGAUAUGGAUUCUUUUAGGCCACCGUGUUUGUGUUAGACUGUUCAUCUACAGUCGGAAGCUAAUGAAUGAGCUCAAUAUAUAGUAUGUUCACUCUACUGGUCAGAGAGUUUUCAGAUCACAUUAUGCUGUAUGGCUCAUACAUGCCAGGCACUGAGCUUGGAGUGGAGACUCUGGGCUAAACACACAGUCCUCAACUUGAAAGCUAUGAUCUCAAAGAAAUGACUACAAUUUAGCAUCUUCAAAAUGAGUCAAAAAUCUACAAUUGAAAACAACUUGUGAAGUUAUGCAUGCUGCUGUCGCAUAAGGACUUCCUGGAAUCAGUCAGAGCAAGAUGGUAGCAGCACAGGUCCUUAGGACAAUGAGCAACAGAAUUACUCCAGUUUCAUGUACAGAAGAGAGCAACCUUGAGACCCCCCAAAAUCCAUAGGUCCGAAGUAGUGAAGGAAAGUCGACCCUCAAGUAUGGCACCUUGACACACUUCCAAGCUGGAGAAAACCUGAAGCCACGGCACCAGCAGCCCCCUUCUGGUCCUCUCUCUUAGGGACUUGGGUGGAGGCUGUAUUGUUCUGUGCCAGAAGACAAGGACAGGAGGCUAGGAAGACUUACCAAAAUGAACAGGAGUGAUGCUGGGAAAUUGGGUAUCUACUUGGAAACGAAUGAAAGCAGACCUCUAUCCGUCACCAGUCACAGAAAUCAACUCGAAUUGAAUUAAAAUGUUAUCUUCACAGUGAAUUUUGUUAACUCUAUCAAAAUUCUCAACUUUCAGAUGAAAUUUCAGCCAGGCUCCAGGAUCCAGUACCUUGGCUAGCCCUGGAUUUUAUGUUGCACCACUUAUUGGCCUUGGGCAACCCCUGUGAAAGGGUCUUUUGACCCCUAGAGGGGUCAUGACCCACAGGUUGAGAACCACUGCCCUACAGUCUUACCCAUGAAAUGCUUGGCUACUUCCAAAUCUCCUGGAAAACCUGCCAUUGCAACAAACACAGCCAUGUAUCGGAAACACGCCCUGGAAUGCGUGGGAGCUCCCAUAAGAGCCUUGAAUCAGAGAUAAACUUGGGGGUGGAAGCUCUGAGGAUGCUAAACCUGGAAGAUAGGAAGAGUAUGUCCCUGUGAUUCCCUGGAGCUGUCACACUAACCCUGGGCUGUCCAAUUAGGCACUGCUUAUAUUUACAUAGAGAAAUAAACAUUUGUAUGGUCAAACCAUUAUCCUAAGGGGAUAUUAGUUCAGACAAUGGCAAGCCUGGUCUGUUGCCAACUGUGCACAUUUCCACAGGAGGCUGCCUGAAGUUUUCAACUUGAUGUUUACAAUAGAAAUUCCAUCUGCUUCUAAGGCUAUUGUUACAGCUUUUCCUUGUCCAGAAACAUUUCUUUAAUCAAGUUAAUGCUCUCCAAAUGUGCUAAGUAUUCUCCUGGUUCCCAAAUUUACCACAGUUUCCCAGGUGCUGUGAUUUCAAUUAUCCCAGAGCAUCUUGCAAAUGCCUUUCACUGGGACUUAGCUGAAAACUAGAGUAAUGGACUUUUCAAGAUGGAAGGGAAUUAAAAUUUUCUGUUAACCUAAAUUUCCGUACAAUGAAAUAAAACACUUUCUGUCCUUGAUACUUGCAUUGGGUACUUAUCCUAUUGCUGUGGGGCGGGGGGAAAUACCCUGACAAAAGCAAAUUAAGGGAGAAAAGGUUUACACAGUUCAAGAUUACAGUCUUCAUAGCAGGGAAGUCAUAGCAGCAGGAGCUUGAGACGGACGGUCACAUUGCAGUCAACCAAGAAGCAGAAAGUGGUAGAUGCUAGAGCAGAGCCUACUUUCUGCAUUUAUACAGUUCACAGUCCCAGCCUAGGGAAUGGUGCUGCCCACAUAUAUGGUGAAUCUCCCCAUCUCGAUUCAUCUAAUGGAGAAAAUCCUUCAUAGUCAUGCACAGCAACCAACUUAGAUAGUCCCUCACAGAUAUGUCUGUAGGGUUGUCUCCUGGAUGAUUCUAGAUCUUAUCAAGUUGAUAAUCAGUAUUAACCAUCAUAAUACUCAAGCACAAUUAGCAACCAACUGUUGUAGAAUAUUAUUUUAAGAUGUCUUAUGUUUGCUUAUGCUAUGAAACAUUUGUUUAAUGAUGCAAAGAUAUAUUGCAUUCUUUUAUGUUGCAUUUGUUUAACUCUGUGAAGCUGUGUUACUGUGCGUGUCUAAAACACCUGAUUUGUCUAAUAAAGAACUGAAUGGCCACUAUCAGGGCAGGAGAAAGGAUAGGUGGGACUGGCAGGCAGAGAGAAUAAAUAGGAGGAGAAAUUUGGGAAGAUAGAGAUCAGGAUACAAAAGGAGAAGGAAAGGACUCCAGGAGCCAGAUGCCCAGCUACACAGCCAGACACAGAAUAAGAAGGAAAGAAAAGACAUACAGAAAUAGAGAAUGGUAAAAAGCCCAUAGGCAAAAGAUAGAGGGGAUAAUUUAAGUUUAAAAAAGCUGGCAAGAAACAAGCCAAGCAAAGGCUGGGCAUUCAUAAGGAAGAACAAGACUCUCUGUGAUUUAUUUGGGAGUUGAGUGGCAGGCUCCCAAAAAGCAAAAGAGUAAAAAAAAAAUGCCAACAACAACCAACAGCAUUUUUACAAGAUCCCAGGUAAUUCAAAGCAUCUUGAAGUUUGAGGGGUGCUCCAAUCAAAUGCUUGUCAAAAGUUGUGUGGGUUGUUCACAAAACACCCUAAACAGUUCUCCUACAGAUAGAAUAAUCAGCAAGUUAUUCCGUUAAUAAGAUAAAAAUUUCUUUCCUUUUACCAAGGAUUUCUCUGCCUCUAGUCUGUAGAAUAAUUACAAAUAGUACUGACUGAUGGAAUUUUGAUUGAGAAUAUCCUCCUGGAACUUGGUCAGCAAUGUUUACAGUGCAGCAAUGGUUACAGGUGAUCAUGUCAUUAGAGUUUCCACUCUAUAUACAAUUAAUCUACUGGUGGGUUCAUGGCUCAAUGGAUUAGUAAAAGGUGGAGCAAACUGUAAGAUGUGAGACUGAGUUAGAGGAAGUAAGUCCUGGGAGUGUGCCUGGAAGGGCCUAUUUUGUUCCCUGCUCUACUGUUCUUCCUCCAUGCUACAAGGUGAGCAGUUUUCCUCUUGCUGAGUGUCAUUGGCCACAAGGUAUUGCCUCAGUGUAGAACCAGCAGCAAGGGAGCCUAAUGAUUGAAUACUCUCAGCCAUGAGUCCAAAUAAUUCUUCUGUCUUUUAAGUUGUUUUGCUCAAGGUUUUUGUCAUAGUGAUGAAAAGCUGACUAACACAGUGAUUCACCCUAAUUAUUUGAAGGUGCCUAUCCUGGUUCUCAGCCUUCUCUUUUCAAAGGAAAAUGACUCACUUAAUUGGCAUUCUUCACAUACUCUGAUUUUCAGAGAUUUCAUCUUCUUUUAACUCAUACUAAAUUGUUAGUAUCCUAAUUAGAAUACAAAUUUGCAAUUUAAUAUAUUUACUGAGUGAACAACACUAGAUUCCCCAACAUAGCAGAUUCUAACUUCUCUCAUAUACAACACAUUACAUUUAAACGUUGAUCCAUCGCUGUAGUUCUGAUGCUAUUCUCAUCAUUAACAUCAUUUUAUAUAAAUAUUGAAAAUCCAUUUUAAAACCAUUUAAGUUACAUCAAAACCACUUAGUAACAAAAAUCACAACCUGUUUUGUUGAUAUAUUUGCUUUUGCUUUAUUUGAGGAAUUGAGGUUUCACUAUGUUAACCAGGCUGACCUCAACAUCCUGAGCUCAAGUGAUCCUUCAGUCUCAGCUUGCUGAGGGGAUUGGUUAGAGUACAUUCCAUUGCACCCAGUUUCCUGUACUUCAAAGAAACCUUUUAGUGAUUUUCAUACAUGAGUAUUGUAUUUACAUAAUUUCCUCCUCUUCUUCUUCUCCCAACUCUUCUGUCCCCCACGCCUUUUCAAAUUCAUGACUUCUUUAAUUAUUAUUCCUUUACGUGCAUGCGCGCGCGCAGCCACACACACACACACACACACACACACACACACACACACACACGUGCAUGCACAACCUACUGAGUCCAUUUAAUGUUACCCAUACAUCCAUGUGCUUAGGAGUGACUACUUGGGAUGAUAUAACUAUCAGAGGGCUUGUUUCUGUAGAAGACUGAUUCUCCUUCCUCUCUCUUUUGGCAGCCAUUAAAUGCCUCUAACUCUUCAUCUGGGGUGGGUCCUCAUGAGAUAUCAUGUUCGCAUGCCAUUGUUGUCAUUGUGCAUGUCAUGUUAGGUGGCCAUACUGUUGAGAGUUCGUGAGUGUAACUUCCCUGUCACAUGGAGAAGCCACUACCUUGCAGCAGACAUCCUGGUCCUCUAGUUCUUGCAGUCUUUCUGCCCCUCUCUUCCACAAUGAUGCCUGAGCCUGGCCUUACAGUGGUGUUGUGGAUGCACCCAUUGGGGUUGAGCACUACACAGUCAGUUGUUAUCUGCAUUUGGACCAGUUGUGGAUUUCUGCAAUUCCACCUGUUGCAAAAAGAAGCUUCUCCGUUGACGGGUGAGAGCUUCACUUAUCUGUGAGUAUAAGACUAAGUACUUGCUGGGCGGUGGUGGCGCACACCUUUAAUCCCAGCACUCGGGAGGCAGAGGCAGGCAGAUCUCUGUGAGUUCAAGGCCAGCCUGGUCUACAGAGCGAGAUCUAGGACAGGCACCAAAACUGCACAGAGAAACCCUGUCUCAAAAAAAAACAACAAAAAAAGUACUUAUAAUGCAGUUGGAAAUUAUACUCAUUUAGGUUCUCCUCCAGGGUCUAAUAUCUUAACAGCCAGGGGCUUGCAAAAGCCAUAGGAAACAUUUUAUGUUUACUUAAUAAUACAUAUAUAAUAUACAUUAGUAUAUGCAGAUACAUAUACAUAGAGUUUAAACUACAUUGUGCUACUUGGGGUGAUGAUACUCCCUCCAAGAGCCAUGGAGUAGCUAACAAAAUCCCAGUGCCAAGCAUGGGAAACAUCCCUUGGAGAUUUUGAUCAGAGAAAUCCAAGGGACUUCCAAAAUAAUACAGGCUAUUUCCAGUGCCCUUGUCUCCAGAACUUGAAAGUAAGGUCCUAUUCCUGAAGAUUCCACACCCUUCAGACAGGACUUGGUGUUGAUUUGGAAUUGACCUGGAAGCCUCCUCCCUGAAGACCAGUGGAUACAGUCAAAGGUGCUAUACAAGCUGCCAAGAUAAAAAAGCAAUCAAUGGUUCUUCCUGCCUGUAAAACUAAGAACUACAAUGAAAACUGGCACAGUAAGAUAUGUACAAUGGUACAGCAGCGGCACCUCCAUCUUGGGAUUAACCACCGGCUGUCUAUUAAACUUAAGGUGCCUCGGCAGGAGGGACUUCACACCUAGUACUAUAAAACUAACCAACUACCUGUUUAGUUUAAGGUGUGUUGCAUUCAUUUAUACUGUGAAAUAUUCGUUUAAUGAUGCAAAGAUGUGUUGCAUUCUUUUUUGUUGCAUUUGUUUAACUCUGUAAAGCUGUAUAACUAUGCCUGUCUAAAACACCUGACUGGUCUAAUAAAGAGCUGAAUGUCCAAUGGCUGGAGGGAGAGAGGGAUAGGCAGGGCUGCCAAGCAGAAUAGGAGGAGAUAUCCAGGCUUAAGAGAAGAGGGAGGAGUGAAAAAAGGAGGAGAAGAGAAUGCCAGGGGCCAGCCACACAGCCACACAGCCACACAGCCACACAGCCACACAGCCACACAGCUGGUCAUGUAGUAAGGAGGAAAGAGAGAUAUAUAGAAUGAAGAAAGGUUAAAAAGCCCAGAGGCAAAAUGUAGUUAAAGAGAAACAGGAUAAUUUAAGUUAGAAGCUAAGCUAAGGCUGGGCAUUCGUAAGUAAGACUAAGUCUCCAUUUAGGACCUGGUGGUGGGUCCCCAAAGAGUAAAAAACAAAACAGCUAUACUACCUAUGGGUUGUGCAUUUGUUUUAAUCAUGAAAACUAUGUCUGAGCCAUGUCUUAACUUUUCUGGAAAGAAUACUGCUACCACUGAAAAAUAAAAGUGCUCCAGCAGAUGCCCUGAGUUCACUCCAUUGUAAGUCUCAGAUUCUGCUUGCCUGUAGGAAGCUUUCUUCUGGCUCAAGUGACACCAUCUCAAAGCCCUACACCCGUGGCCAUUGUGUUUGCUCACAGCAUGCAUGCGAGUGCUUCUCUUCCUCUGUCUCCUCCUGGCAGCAGGGACUCAUGUGUCCACGACACCCAGCACAAUGAAGAACUUACACUAGGCACUAAACAAAUAUUUUUACAUGAAUAAGGCCGAGGUUACUCCUUUGGACAGAGGACAGAACUCGAUUGGAUUUUAUUGGAAUGAGUUGAGUGAGAAAAGCCAGUAAAGUACCCAUGUUCUUCUUGCUAUCUUUAGGUGAAAUGUAGAACUCCCAUUGGGAUUGUCCCAACAAAAGGAGUUGACCUAGUUUAACAGAGUAUAAAUAUAGUGUGUCCCCAAAGGUCUCCAAACACAGGAUUCACCAAAGUGUAUCUUCAGAACUUCAAGUGGUACGACUAACACAGACUGACCCACUUAACAUGAGCCUUCUCACACAAAGUGGAUUUGAAACCAGUACCGUCCCUCAGAGUUCCUGCGGCCUACUGUCCAGUAAGAGUCCUCUUUUUCUAUGAAUGGCCUUUGAAGAGUUUGUGUUCAACAAAAACUCAAGCGCAAAAGACUCUCAACAACAACAAAUGCCCUAAAAUUGAUGGUGUACUUUCAGAGGAAGCUGAGGUAAAUACAGAAAUGGAGACCAUCCAGUGUUAGCCUUUCCCAUUGGUGUGUAUUUUCAGUUUUUAUAACCCUCAUUCAAAACACGCUAUCUUCUAACUAUUUUAUCUGAGGGUAGCUAGCUGCCAGUGGAAGGGCAUUAUCACUGUUUAUGAUCUCGCAGAGUGCCUGUAAACGUUGGUACCUCAGCAAAAUUAUCGUCCUGAUUAUAUAGCUUUAGCAGAGGGGAUAGUUUGUUAAAAUAGACAAGGGCAAAUCAGCAGCAAUAUCUUGCCCCAAUUAAAACAUGAGUGAGAUGAAAACAGCAGCUAUUCAGGAUGCCUCCUUAUCUAGGGAAAGUUCACAGUACCCUCAUCCUUUCUAUAGGUGGUACCCAACUGAGACAAGCUCUGCUUUAGUGACUAACAGGGAUGCCGUGCUUUACAAUGCUUCCUUUUCUGUGCACCCCGGUGGUUGUGCUGAUGUCCCCAAACUACCUAAAGCCAUCUCCCAGUGGAAAGGGUUCCAGCCUUGGCGGGUCCAAACGACGGUUUGGCAGAAGGACUAGAGUAUAUGUAUGGUGUGAAUGCUCUGUGCGGGGCUGAGAAACAGGGUUCAUGUUUUAUUUUCCACUGUGAGGCUAUAAAAGUAAGUGAAAAGAAAAUGCAGCUUCCUGUCUGUGGAAGAGCUGGGUUGCUUCCAGUCCUUUGCUGUUGCUAACAAUGCAGAGAUAGAGACUCAUAUACAUCAUUUUGCGUGUGUUUUAAUAUCACUCCAGAAUGCAUUUGUAGAAAUAGAAGAGCAGGGGCAAAGGCUGUACGCCUUUGUAAUUUUAAUACAUAUUACCAGAUUGCCUUCCUCAGGGACUGCAACAAUUAAUAUUUCCACUAGCAAUGUAUAAAAGUGACUAUUCAGGAAAAAGAGUCACCAUCAGAUUACAAUGUACUCUGAGAUUCUGGAGGUAUCAGUACACUGUUUUAAUGCUUUUAUUGGCAUGUAUUAAUUGUAUAUAAUAAUGGGUUUCAUUAUGGCAUUUUCAUGCAUGUAAUUUGAUUGUCUUCACUCCCAGUCCUGCUCCUGAUCUGUUACCAGUGUUGUUGAUCAGUUGAUCAUUCCUCUUCCCAGCUGCCCUCCCUUCCACGUUCAGUGCACCCCAAGUCCCCAUGGGUUGUUUGCUGCGAUGUUAGUGACAGUUUGUUUACAGGAGCAUGUACACCUUGUCAGGGACACCACUGAAAAUAUGUCCUUCCCUCCUUCAUCAACUGUAUCAGCGUAGUUUAAAGCUUUCCUUCCACAGUUUCAAUUUUUUUUUGAAUUUUUAAAAAUAUUCUUUGUUUUCUUUAGGGAAAUAAGCUCCUUUUCUGGAUACUCAUUGCAAGGAUUUAAAUUUAAUUUAACUUUUAUAACAUUUUUCUUUGUUGAAUAGUAUGUCCUCACGCUCAAGUCCUCCUGUGAGUUUUGUGUACUCAAGCGUAACAAUUUAAAAAUUUUUUAAAUUCGGAGUUAUAUUUAGAAACGUUUCUUCCCAUCCAAGCUUGUAAUGGAAUCUUUCCAUAUUUUCUUUCUGUGUUUUUGUGGGUUUAUGUUUUAUGUUUAAGCUUUGAUCCAUUUGGAAUUUAUCCCGGUUUGAGGCCUGGGGAGAAGAUCUGCUUGAUCUAAUGAAUUUUAUUUAAUAACUCAUCUUUCCCCUCUGGUUUGAGGCAGUGCUGUUGAUAUAGCUCUUUCAUUCUCUUCCUGAAUGUUCUAUUUUUUUUUUCUAGGAAUUUGAUGACCUCUUCAUGCAUACAGCCACACUCUUUUCAUUGUUAAGACUUAGAAAUCAAAUGUCCACUUACUUCCCUUGCUCUUUGCUUCAGAAUUUUGCUAAAUAUUGUUAAUUCAUGUAUCAUUCUCAAAAAUCAUCUUUUGGGGGCUGGAGAGUUGGCUCGGUGGUUAAGAGCACUGACUGCUCUUCCACAUCACAGUUCAUCAUCAAAGGAAGUCAGGAGAGGAACUCAAACAGGGUAGGAGCCUGGAGGCAGGUGCUGGUGCAGAGUUCUGCUUACUGGCUUGUUCACUAAUGGCUUGCUCAGUCUGCUUUCUUAUAGAACCCAAGACCACCAGCCCAGGGGUGCCACUACCCACAAUGGGCUGGGCCCUCCCCCACUAACCACUAAUUAAUUAAGAAAAUGCCCUACAGGCUUGUCUGAUCUUAUGAAGGCAUUUUCUUAAUUGAGGUUCCCUCCUCUCAGAUGACUUUAUUUUGUGUCAAAUUGACAUAAAACUAGCCAGCGCAGACCCUACUUCCCAACCAUGAUCCUUGCUCCUAGGGAAGCAAGGAUUAGGUUUUAUGGUUUUUUGUUUUUUUUUUUGUUUUUUUGUAUGACAGGAAUUGGAUUCCUUUAGCUGUGGGCUUCUAUUAUCUUCUGGGAUGUGUCGGUGGGCCUUCUUUACCCAAUUCCAUCCUUAUAUUUCAGCCAUUUAUGGAUGUGCAGUAGAAGAAAUCUCCUUCCAAACCCUUGUCCAUUGGAAACAUGGCAGACCAGGGAGCUGUUUUUCAGUUCUGAUUAUUCUUGCUGUUGAAGUAUCAACAAGCAUGCCCACAGAUUCUCUUCUCUUCUCCUUAAAGCUAUGAAUAUAAUUAAAUAUAUCAGAGAACUUCCUAUAAGGGAACUUGUUUCGUUCAUUUACUAAAUCCACCUGGUCAUAUUUCAUUAUUCAUGCCAGCAUCUACUUGCAAAUAUUUUGCUUAGGAAUUAGGAAAUUUCAUCAUUUUUCAACACAGUUAUCUUAAGAAUAACUUGGUAGUAAAUAUUGAGGUUCAUAAGCACAUUUAAAAGAUUUAUUGUUCUUACUGUUCUUUGAAACAGUUUAAAUAAUAUUGGAAUUACAUGUCUCUCAAAGUUUUGAUACUAUUCACCCAUAAAAUUUGUGAGACUUAGUCCUUUUUUUAUUGAUGUCUUUUCAAAGAAAAGUGAUUCCUUUAGAUAAUUUUAAUUUCAGGAUCAGUACUGAUAAAUCAUAGAUCCCCACAAUAAUUUCUUUUCACUGGAUAUAUCAAAGCCACAUAAAAUUAAACAGAUCAUUUUCAUCGGAGUAUUUGGUAUUUCUUCAUUGCAAUUGGCACUCACUUUUUGUUUCUGUUUUUGCAUCCUCCCAUCUUCACUAAUUGAACUGAAUUAUAGUGAAUCAGUUGUUUUGAUCUUGUUUUCAAUGUGUUAAUUUUUAAAAUUUAUUAGUUUGUUUUUCUGUGGUGGUGUUUCCUACAUCGUUAACUCUGCUUAAAACCCACAUUUCUCUUAAAAUUGUACUCUUCUGCUUGCCUUAAUUUGUGUUGUGGCAUUUGAAUGAUCUGUUUGGAUUCAUGUUUUAUUUUCAUGUCUAAUUACCUAAUCUAUAGUUUCUAUUUAUAUUAUAGGAGUAGUAUUUUCCAUUGUUUCCUGGAUUUUAAAUUUUGAUUUCCGUGAAGACAUUUCCCCGCUUACUCUGUUGUGAAGUCCAUGUUUGUGUUCAUUCUAUUGCCUUUGUGUGUCUUUUCUUGGUUCUUGUAUCUCAGGCUUGGAGGGGAAAGGGUGUCACAAUAGUUCUUUUUAAAAAGUAACUUUUCUGGUAGGCAGUGCCUUUGAUCCUAGCAAUCGGUGGCGUUGUGGGGGGUGCAGCAGGCAGCAUCAGUCAAAUUCAAGAACAGCCUGGUCUAUGGAGUGAGUUCCAGGACAGCCAGGGCUACACAGAGAAACUGUCCCUCAAUGCCCCCACAAAAUAAUAAUUUUUCUAUUUUUUGAGAUUAUAGUUACAUCAAUUUUUUCUUAAUUGUUGUUAAGUAUACAACAUGUGUGUAUAACUAUUCACACCUAUAAAUAUGUAUGUCGAUCACACCCUGCUGUGUGUAUAUGUUUUCAGGGCUGACCAGUUGCUGUGAUCUUCUUUGGGGAAGACUAUUUCUUCACUCUCGCUCUCCUUAGUGGCCUAUAGUUCUUCGUCUACAGUUGAGGCUUCAUGACCUCUGCUGCUUCCAUGUUCUCGGGUCGACGAUUUUUGUCUUUUUAUAGACUUUGUUUAGGCAGCCAUGUUGGUGAGACCUCAUGGGUGUAGCAUCUCUGACAUUUCUAGGAGACACACUCUCACAGCAUCUUCUUGUCCCUCUGGAUCUUGCAAUUGUUCAGCCUCCUCUCCUGAAAUGCUUCCUGAGUCUUAGGUGCUGGGCUUGUAGAUGUAUCAGUUGGGACUCUGCUCCCCAACUCUGCGUUUUGAUCCACUGUGGUUUUCUGUAAUGGUCUGUAGCUGUUGCAAAAACAGGUCUCCUUGCUGAGGACUGAGAAGUGCACUUACCUGUGGGUACGAGGAUGAAUAUUUAGAAUGAAGCUGGGGAUUAUACUGCUUCAGUAAAAUGGCCAUUGUAGUUUCUUCUUCAAGACCCAUGACUUCACUCGCCCUGGGUAGUUGGCUAGGUUUCCAGUACCAAGCAUAACUUCCCUCUUGUUGAGUGAGCACAAUAAUUCUUUUUAAUUAGUUUACUGUUUUUAAUUCAUGGACACAUUCUUUCUCUUAAAAGUUAAUAUUGAUAUAUGUCAAUCUGCAUGUAUGAUAUGUGUGUGUGUGAGUGAAUGUGGGCAUAUGUGCCCUGGUACACAAGUAAAAAUCAGAGGGCAACUUUUAUGAAUCAAAUCAGUUCUUUCCUUCCACCAUGGGAUCUGGGAACUGUAUUCAGGUUGUCAGGUUUGUGUGACAGGUACUUUUAAUUGUUGCUAAGGCAACUUGCUGGCCCAAGGACCCCAUUCUUCACUUCUCUGUCUCAGUGUCUUCUAUUAUCCUUCUCUGCACAUAAGCUGUAUUUCUGCUGUGGUUUACGUGAUGUCUCUCAAAUUUAAUUUUUAAAUAGCAUGAGGCAAAGGUCUGAUUUCUUUCUAUAUUGUUUUUUUCUUUGGCAUACGUUUUUCCUUACAAAACAGUACAUUUGUUAACAAGACUUCCUUUCCCUCCGCUGAGUUGCCUUAGACCUGCCAUCAAAAGCUGUCAUGCAUCUGCAUCUGUAAGUCUCUUUCUGGACUCUGCAGUUCCCCACUGUCUUCUGCACCUCCCGCAGUAUCUUGAUGAUGACUGGGUCCUUACACCAAAUACUACCAUGUCCCAACAUUUUUCCUUAUUUUGAGAUAAAUGUGGCUCUCUGUGGUUCCUUGCAUCUAUGAAUUAAUUUUAGAAUCUGAAUUCCACACACAAAAUAAUCCUAUUGGGGUUUUUAAUCAGCCUAUGCUCCAUCUACAAAGCCCCCCAGGGAGAUCACUGGAGUCUUCCAGUCCUUCCGUGUGGCAUGCCCCUCCAUUCAUAAGAAGGAUUUGUGAUUUUUAUUGGUAAUAUGUAAUUUCUCCCUUCCGUUUUUUAUCAAAGUAUCAUUCUUUCAAUGCCUUUGCUGUCUUUUACUUCUUUUUAAAAAUGUUUUUAAAAGUACUUCUUGUCUGGACACUUGUGUGCAGAUGCAUCCGGAGGUCAGAAGAGGCCAUCAGAUGCUCUGGAACUAGGGUUACAGAUGGUUGUGAGCCAUCAUGUUGGUGCUAGGAACCAUGUCGUGUAAGUGCUUGUAACUGCUGAGCCAUCUCUCCAACUCCCCACUUUUUUGAGAGAGGAAGAGUUUAUUUAGGCUUACAAUUUGGGGGGCAGUCCAUGUUGGCAGGGGGUGCACGGCAGCAGGAGCAUAAGGUGUCUGGUCACAUUGGGACUACUGGAAGGUAGCAGUGACAUCUUUGUUCUUACACACACUGGAGUGACUCUACUUCUCCUGGGCCUGUUUCUGUUGCUGUUGUUUCAUUUUGUAUUUUUCCCCAUGACUCCUCGCUUUUUAAUCUUUUACUAGUACCUACAGGCUUCUUCCCUUUAUCUCUGAUGGAUUAUCAGGUAUAUUUUUUCUUUGAUUUUAGUAUGAAAAAUAUUUGUGAUAGAUAAGGCUGGGAAUUUUGUUAGUAAUGAAACCAGAACUAUAACCCAGGUCUCCUCAGGGCCAAGUGUCUCAGUUACUGAAAGGAGCAAAUAUUAGAAUAAUUGGUGGGAAUCUCUACCUCCUUCAUAUAUAUAAUAUAAUGUAAUAUAUCCCAUUCUUUGCUAGCACUGUUUCAGAGUAACCUCACUUAUAUUGGCUUUGAAGUCUUUUGAAACAAGAAGCUAAGGAUAGAACCCAUUAAAAAUCACCCAACAAACUUCAUCAUUAACUCUAGAAGAAAUCACGCUUUCUGUUGGGAAAGACCCUGUUCAGAGAGCAGUUUCUGCUUUGCUGUUUUCUCUUUUUCUUUCCUCUUUCCCUGAUCUCCUGCUGCCUUUCUAAUGGAUUCAGGUCACACCAAGGCCCUGAACAAUGAAUGCUUACAAAGAGCAGUUGCAAGCCUUGACUGAGGAGAUAAGACAAACCGGGAGACACUGAGUAAGAGCAGGGCCUGAGGAAGGCAGACUCGGGGCUCUUAGAAGCUGGAUGUUAAAAGAAACGCAGAGAUCCAGAAACAAGACAAGGGCAGAGUCGAUGUAAACCCUAGGCUAGGAAGGAAGUCAAGAAUCUAGCCUAGUAGUUACAGUUCCAACUCCAAUGCCCUGUGAGUAAGAGCUUGGAACAGAGGUGGUUCUGAAUUUCAAAGAAAAUCUGGGCUGGUAUGUACGGGUGCAGGGCUACCAUUUGACACAACUCUUAGGAACAUCCGUAUAUAUUGAUGAAUUCAUUCAUUCAUUGAUCCUAUUGUCAGUUAGUAGGUUAGUAAUAUUAGGAAGCUGACCUGAGUCUUUAAAAUGUUAAAGGUGAAAGACAGAGUGAAGAUGUCUAUUAGCGACUCUUGCUAUGGAACAUGCUAGGUGAACAGCGUUGAAACAUACACUAAGCUUUUGUCCCCCGGGAGCAGUGUCAUGUUAGUGGCCAUCAAAGCAGUGAGCUGACAGGCUUAACUUUCCCGGAGAGAUGUUAUAAAAGGGGCGAUUUGGGAAAUGAGUGGGCUCCCUGGCCCCCAUCAGUGUUCAAUGUGCUACCCUGGAGCCAAAGCACCAGCCAUGGUAAUUGCAGCAUUUGUUUGGGGUGGGGGGUGCAUUCCCAGGCUGCAGAGCCUCAUUUCAGUCCACAUGCCUCUAAUUUGAUGUUUUUAAAUUCAGCUCCAAGACUGUCGUCAGCCAUUUGUCCCCCUCUUUCCUUUAACACUGACCACCUUGUCCCCUUUUCUCCUGUGAACAGAGGCAAGCAGUGUGCAUUGAAAGCCAACAGCUUUUGUGUUGCUUGGGAAAUCUGAGGCUGACAUCUCCGGGCCCUUUCUGCCUCUCCCGCCUCUCUCUGCCCGUGACCUGCCAAGUGGGUCUGACUCUCCCAGGCUUUCGUCAUGUUGUAUAUCGAUUGCUCUCCUUUCGUUUAUUUGUAAGAUGCUGAAGGACAGACCCUGCUGCACAGGGACAGUGGCUUUGGCAAUGAGUAGGUCAGCCAGUGUCCCUAGGCACACAGGUCCAGUGAUACUUCACCGGGUUGGCUGGUGUGACAUCAGUAGCUCCUAAAGGGACCAAUUGAUUCCCCCAUUUACCCCCUGCACCCCACCCCACCCCCAAGAUCGCUAUUCUAAACUCUCAAAUUCUUUUUCUGGGAUUUCAUUCUGCCUUUUUGAAUGCUCUUUUUUUUUUCUGCUUCUUUUCUUUCUUAGACCUUGUGAUCCUUAGGUACUGGGUUUACUAAUUACCCCCAAUGCUGGCACCUGACAGCAGGUGGCCACCAUUCUGUUAAUUAUGUCCCGGGGCUUAGAGAGUCUCUUCUAAUGACAUCUAAUCAUCUACCUCUGACUCUUGGGCUGAAAGCAGGUUGCAGGCACAAUCUCUUUCCCUGAGCUCUUCAAAUCUAUUCUUCUGGCCUAGCACCAUGCCUGCAAGGUAGAUGAUAGAAUUGCCAAGCACUAGGUUCCUUCGAUGGUGGCUGGGGAGUCACAGCUCAAAUGCAGGAAACUGAUCAGCACAGUGCCGGUUUACUAGUCAAAUAAGCCAACUUGAGGAAGGGGAGGUCUGAGACCUGCGGUAGAUUAAGACUCUUCUCUGUCUGUCUCCCUCAAUUCCCAGAGCCCCAUUGUAUACUGUCCUUUAGCCCAAACUGAGAUGGUAGCUUCCCACAGUCGACUGUAGAAAGCAGAAGGAGAUGCGGUUAAUUCUUUCAUAGGGGAGUAAGAAAGACUGCACUAUAACAUGUGAGAGCCCUGGGCUGCCAGAGAAAUCAGUGUAAAUCCUUGUAGUAUUCAUUUGGUGAGCGAACAGGCUUCUGCCUUUCAUCCAUAAAACAGGGGAAAUAUCCCUUUUGUGCUUUUUUGAAGUGCAGCCAAGAGAAUUAAUUGUGCAUUAUUUCCAGAAGGUUUGGUAUUCCAUGGAGGCAGGUAGUGUGUGCAUAUAUGUGUGCAGACAAAGGUAGACAGAUAUAGUGAUAAUCCUUCACUGGCUGCUUCCAGACACCGAUGCUGAAAGAAAUGAAUUAUGGGUAAGGAGAACUGUCGAGCAGAGAGUUUUGGUCAAUUUGUAGGUACUUUAAAGCAAUUGUGAUGGAUGUGGGAAGAGAGAUCGAUGGAGAAAUAUCAAUAGGGAUUUCGCCGUAAGGACGCCAUGGCCACCAGUCUCACUACCCAAAUGACUGUAACCUGAGCAAAUUAAAAGGGGAAGUACAGUCCUCGCCUAUAACAGCAAAAAUAAAACAUGCACUUACUCUCACAACUGGUAAGAUCAGUCUCAGAGGCCAAGGAUAGAUGAAAUUGUUUUUGGUGAAAGUCAGAGGUAUCUUACUUGGCUGACAAUUAUGAUCAUAAGUUUUGGUAUAUCAUUGCAAUUGAGCCUCAGAUACUCCUGUAUGAUAGACAACCAGGGUAAGUUCUCCUUUGCUAUGAGAGGUAGUACUUGGGGCCCCACAGUGUACAAUGUCUACAAGUGUACAGGUGUAAUCCUGGCUUAUUCUUCCUGAAGGAGAUUAUGUCUGGCCGCCCCACAGUUUCUCUGCAGAUUUCGUGGAGACCUCAGCUAUGUUGCUCUAGCCUGUCUGCACCCUUCAGGGAACCCUCUUUUCACUGGUCCCUCCUCAAUAGUUUGACACUUGCAUGCCUGCUCUCUGUGAGUAAGGCUUUACCCUCAAGUCAGCAUACUUUCCAGGCCUUUCUUGAACGAUAACAUAUCAUAUGGUCCUGGCAGGUCUCCAAGAGUCUCCAACUGAUGUCACCUAGAGUUUUUUGUCAUUGCCCAGUCAAAGGGAAGCUCACAGACAGAAGGUGAGAAGAAGAAAGUCACCCAGGAGCUGCCUAAACAAAUGGACACUGAAAUUCCAGGUGUCUGUGCAGCCUGCCCCAGUUUAGGAUAAUUCAAACUUUCUUGCUGAGUUCACUGGUUAUUUGUUGACCAUUCAGUCUAAUGUCGAUGCAACAACUCUCCAGGGGGACUUGUAAUUUGUACUUGAUUUUUGCUGGAUCUUCUUUUUCAUCCUUCCCUCCUCUAAUUAUUGCAUUCUCUGCACUCGCUCUCUAUCUCAAGUUGUUUGUAACCUUCUCAAUCAAUUGCUUUCUCGAAUCUUACUUCCAGUAUGUCUAGGGGCUUGGCUCUCCCCUAAGUCAGGGAGUGAUGGUAAGGAUGCUGGGAAAUGUGCGAUGGAUGAAUGGCUCACUUUGUGGCCACUGUUCUCGAUCUCGUUGUUUGGAUUUUUUGACCUAGGGAAAAACAAACAGUGCCUUAGGUCCUUCCUCUCCCUGCCACUGCCCUUGUGAUUUUCCCUGGCUAUUUGGGAGCCCAGCAAGGGUAGCAGUGGUAAGGAAGGAUUCAUUACUCUUCCUUGAUGUGUGUGAAUACAUUACGUCAUUUCAAUGGGAUCUAGACUUCAAUGACAGACUCUCCCUGCUGGCUUGGCUGUGUUCUCUGCUCCACAGACAACAAAAGAUGACAGGUUGUAAGUUCCCACGUCAGAAGAGAGCAACUGGCUUCUGUUGGCAACCUUAGUUGUCAACUGGCAGCCCCAAGAAACAGGCUCUCUGGGUCAUGUAAGGACAGGCAGGGGCUGACAAGUUUGAAAGGAGAAGAAGAAGCAAGGAGAGGGUUGACGUCAACUCCACAGCCCAACAGUGUCCACCCCCACCCCAGCCCUCACUCCAGCCCCCACCCCCUUUCUUUGCAGAGCUCAUGCCUGAUCACUCAUCACAGCCUGGCACUAGGGUGGGAUUAUAAGAGUUAGAGUAAGCAUCUCCUGACUCUGCCCCAAGACAACUACCUGGGAAUGGCCACUAGUCACCUAGUCAGUAAUCAACUCUCUUUCCUCUCCGCCAGACCCAGCCAGCUUGAUGUCCUCUGUACUAAUAACCAAUAAAAAUACAGCCUACUUCAUUUAAUUUAUUUUCAAUGCAAGGCUUAUUUAAAAUUCAGCAUAGCAAAUCCAGUGAGGAGUUAGGUCCUACGUAGUGACUAGUUUUAGUAGGUCCUUCCAGGACGCCUUUUGUUGAGGAAUAGUUUCAGAUUUGCAGAAGAGUUGCAACAGUGGAAUAGAAUUUCCAAACAGCAGUCACCUAGCUUCCAGGCCAGUUCUACUAUCUGACUGAUUUUGACCAAUGCUUUAAAUAAGGGAAAGCCAAGCUUGUGGAGCAAAUUAGAACUGUCUAAUGUGGGGUCUCCUCUUAACUCCCACCCAGUGUCACAGUGCCUUCCUGCUUCUGGGAUUCCCAGACUAGUGUGGGAGGGAAUUAAGCAGAUCCAGUGCCAUAUUCUAGGUGCCAGUCACAAGUUUCCCUAUGGACAGCCUAGCUAGCCUGUGGAUUUGGGCCAUUCUACGCCCAAUCUUCCCCAGAAUCUACACUGGGGGAAGUGGCCCCUUUGUGCCUGUGUAGGGACACAUGAGAAUUAUGCACGUACCUCAUGACUUAGGCUGUAAGCCAUACCCUUUGUUGAUCCUUUUCAGAACCUCUCAGAGGCUCUAUCCAGCUCCUUUUGUUUCUCAACAUGGAUUUCUGAAGCUGUCUGGGGACUUGGAUCUUAAGCUGUUUUCCCCUAGGCUAUGUCUUCUGCACCAUCAAACCAGACCUCACCAGUAUUCACUACUUACUCGAGACAAGGCCUAUUGAUAUCGUAACCUUCAGAUUUUGUGUUCUAGGUCCUGAACUAAACUUUUUCAUAAUCUCUGCUCCUCCCUAAAUGAGGUCUAGUCCCAUGUCCAGGCCCUUCCACCCUUCUCUAUUCUGCAAGCACCAACAAGCUAUUCUUAACAUGUCAAGCAUUAAGAUAAUAUUCAACUUUUAUGUGAACAUAUUUGUAUAGACAUUUACUGCUGGCUGCUUCCUAGCUCCACUAUUGAGGGCCAUAGAGAUAAACAAUAAACUCUGCUUUAAAGAGCUCACAGUCAGUAGAAGAAGCAGUAAGAAAAGGGAGGGUUGCUGGGUGUUGAGAAAAGGUGCUAGAAGGACAGGAGAAUGCGGUCAGGAAAACAUUAUCCUUUCAUCUCUCUAGAAAAGGGCACAGGGGAAGCAAAGUAGAUUUAAGUUCAACUAGCAAUGCCAAGUUGGACAUGUUAUGUCUGAAGUAACUGCAGGAAGACUCAGAGGAAGAAGCCCAGAGAUUGUGUUGGGAUAUAUAGACUGAACUUGAGGCACUGACAAAAUACAGACACAAAUAGAAUCCUAAGGCCUCCAGGAGAUCAUGAGGAAAACCCCUAUAGUGGUGGAAGGGUCAACAUGGAGUAAUUCCCAAAGAUGUCUCUCCUCCUGGGAGAAUGGGAGGCAUGAGAAAGAGGCGUAUUUUCAUCCUCUCCUGCCCUCGUCUCGGCUGUUUUCCUAGAGUGUAAUCUGCUGAUGUGAGGGCCACUGGGUUGCUCUUUGCUACUGCCUGUAAAAGAGCAAGAAAGCCACACAUGGUGGCCUUUACAAUCAAGGCACGGGGAUAGUCAUUCUUCUGCAGGCUGUGC